GCGCCUGUAGCUCAGUUGGAUAGAGCGGUUGCCUUCUAAGCAAUAGGUCGUGGGUUCGAAUCCCUCCAGGCGUACCA
rnacentral:tRNA from 2 species